rnacentral:rRNA from 1 species
AGUGAACGCUGGCGGUAGGCCUAACACAUGCAAGUCGAACGGCAGCACAGUAAGAGCUUGCUCUUACGGGUGGCGAGUGGCGGACGGGUGAGGAAUACAUCGGAAUCUACUUUUUCGUGGGGGAUAACGUAGGGAAACUUACGCUAAUACCGCAUACGACCUACGGGUGAAAGCAGGGGAUCUUCGGACCUUGCGCGAUUGAAUGAGCCGAUGUCGGAUUAGCUAGUUGGCGGGGUAAAGGCCCACCAAGGCGACGAUCCGUAGCUGGUCUGAGAGGAUGACCAGCCACACUGGAACUGAGACACGGGCCAGACUCCUACGGGAGGAAGAAGUGGGGAAUAUUGGACAAGGGGCGCAAGCCUGAGCCAGCCAUACCGCGUGGGUGAAGAAGGCCUUCGGGUGGUAAAGCCCUUUUGUUGGGAAAGAAAAGCAGCAGGUUAAUACCCCGCUGUUCUGACGGUACCCAAAGAAUAAGCACCGGCUAACUUCGU